rnacentral:tRNA from 1 species
GCAAAGAUAGCUUAACAGAAAAGCAAAGCACUGAAAACGCUUAAAUAAAGGUUCGAGUCCUUUUCUUAGCA